rnacentral:rRNA from 1 species
UACGUAGGCAGCGAGCGUUGUUCGGAGUUACUGGGCGUAAAGAGUAUGUAGGCGGUUCUGUAAGUCUGGUGUGAAAUCUCCCGGCUCAACUGGGAGGGUGCGCCGGAAACUGCAGGGCUAGAGUGUGGGAGAGGAAAGCGGAAUUCCUGGUGUAGCGGUGAAAUGCGUAGAUAUCAGGAGGAACACCUGCGGUGUAGACGGCUUUCUGGACCACGACUGACGCUGAGAUACGAAAGCGUGGGUAGCAAACAGG